rnacentral:rRNA from 1 species
GGGUCAGUAGGUUGGUCGUGCCACCGGUACGUACUGGUCUCACUGAUUCCUCCUUCCUGAAGAACCGUAAUGCCAUUAAUUUGGUGUUGCGGGGAAGCAGGACUGUUACUUUGAAAAAAUUAGAGUGUUUAAAGCAAGCUAACGCGUGAAUACAUUAGCAUGGAAUAAUGAAAUAGGACGAUCGAUCCUAUUUUGUUGGUUUCUAGGAUUGACGUA